rnacentral:rRNA from 1 species
CCUACGGGAGGCAGCAGUGGGGAAUAUUGGGCAAUGGGCGCAAGCCUGACCCAGCAACGCCGCGUGAAGGAAGAAGGCUUUCGGGUUGUAAACUUCUUUUCUCAGGGACGAAGCAAGUGACGGUACCUGCGGAAUAAGCCACGGCUAACUACGUGCCAGCAGCCGCGGUAAUACGUAGGUGGCAAGCGUUAUCCGGAUUUACUGGGUGUAAAGGGCGUGUAGGCGGGAAAGAAAGUCAGAUGUGAAAACCAUGGGCUCAACCUGUGGCCUGCAUUUGAAACUGUUUUUCUUGAGUACUGGAGAGGCAGACGGAAGUCCUAGUGUAGCGGUGAAAUGCGUAGAUAGUAGGAGGAACACCAGUGGCGAAGGCGGUCUGCUGGACAGCAACUGACGCUGAGGCGCGAAAGCGUGGGGAGCAAACAGGAUUAGAUACCCCAGUAGUC